AAGGCCGAGGCCCAAGGAGCAUUUCUCAGCUGGCAGGGCGGCCUGAGAAGGGGAGGGGGGAAUGCAGCAGCACAGGGCCCAUGGAGCCAAGGGACCAUUGUGACACCGUGAGACCUUGUGACAUCAAGGAACUAUUGUGACACCGUGGGGCCUUGUGACAUGAAGGGACGAUUGUGACACUGAGGUGCCUUGUGACACCAAGGGAUCACUGUGACGCUGAGGGGCCUCAUGGAAUCAAUGGGCCAAGUUAAUGCACUGAGAAGUGUUUUUUGUGGAUUGAAUAUCUCGUGUUGGUAUUUCUCCAGUGCAUCCAACUCAAAUGCCAGGGACUUUCUGGGAAAAGGAAGCUGUGCUCUGGCUAUGGAGGGAGGUCCAAGAGCAGCCACUGGAGUAGGAACCACAACUCAUCAGGUGGACAAUGUUUCAUUAGACUAAUUCAAGACAAGACUUCACUUUCAACUCGUAACACGUCAGAAUGUCACAUGCAAACCAAAAAGCAGAUUGUGGCCAGAGCACUGGUUUGAAGCUGCUUCAGGCUGGAGUCAGCUGAACGAGUUCUUCUGGAGUGUCUUUUGAGUGUCCUGCAUGUAAGCCAUGCAAGAGCAAGUCAAAGGCAGGCAUCAUAGAAAUAGACACUAAAUACAUGAAGGUAACAUAUUUGAUUUAAAAAAGUGUGCUUUUCUAAGCUGAAAAUCUUUUUGCUGAGCUGGAGACUGCACUGUAUGACUGACAUGAGGCUUUGGUCACAGAUUAUGCAUGAACAAUCCAGAAGCUGUUGAAUUCUUCAUGAAUUUGUAUCUUGUGUAUUUUGUCCUUGCUUACACAGGCUAGAAAAUGAAGGAAAACAUGCAUGAUGAUUAAGAAAACACAGUGCAAUUUAGGAACCAUUCAAGAAAAUCAUGGUGAAAUCACCUAUAUGUUAUAUCCAGAGAUGAUCCCAACAAUUGCUGCUGAAGAAUUUGUACUAUUAACUUUAUUACAAAUUUUCAAAGGCAGGUGGAGUUGCUCAUCCUGCUCCAAUAAUUUAACAGAUUCUUGUUAUUAGCAAUUAAAUUAUUAUUUGAUUCCACCCCUAAUAUGAUUUAGAGAUUCAUUAGAGCUCUAAGACUCUUGAAUAUUUUGUGUGCUUUGUGGAUAAAAAGACCAGAGAACAGUUAACAAUUCGAGGGAAUUAUGUCUAUCAUGUAGAUUGAUCAGGGCAAUAUGUGAGCUCCUGUGAAACCCUUUUACAAAAUGUUAUCGUUUCUCAUACUUAAUUUGAAAGGAUUCCCUGUCUUUAUCAGGUGUUCAUGUCAGAGAAUCACAGAACCAAUUGGGUUGUAAGAGAUCUCUGAGAUCAUUCCAUCAAGCUUUGGCCCAAACACCACCUUGUCAACCAGAGCAGAGCACCAAGUGUCAUGUCCAGCUGGUCCUUGACCACCAUCCCAGAUGGUGGCUCCACCACCUCCCUGGGCAGUGCCUUCCAAUGUUUAAGAAUCCUUUCUGUGAAGAAAUUCCUCCUGAUGUCCAACUUAAGCUCCCUGGUGCAGCUUAAGCCUGUGUCCUCUUGUCCUGUCACUGGUUGUCUGUGAGGAGAGCCCAAUCCCCAUCUCACUCCAGCCUCCUGUCAGGGUGGUGCAGAGAGUGACAACGUUCCCCCUGGGCCUCCUUUGCUCAAGACUGAGCCCUCCCCAGCUGCCCUGCUUCUCUCAGCCAUUUCUCAUCAGACUUAUUCUCUAGACCUUUAAUCAACUUCCCUUCUCUUCUCUGGACUUGCUCCAGCCCCUCAGUGUCCUGCUUUGGAUGAUGCCAAGCUGGGUCAGAGGUCAAGCACUGCCCAAGUUGGUGCAGCCUCUGUGUGUUUGUCUGUUUCUCACCCCCCUGCUGCUCUGGGAUAACGCAGCGCAUCUGGAUUCCUUGCAUCCAACCCCAUCUGAUGUGCCACAUCUGGGUUCCUUGCAUACAAUCACUGUCUAACAGGCUGUGUCUGGCUUCCCAGCAUGUGAUUCCUAGAUAACAGGUCACUCCUGGAUUUCCUCCUUACAUUCAAUUCCUGGACAAUAUUGCACAUGGACUCUCGGGCAAAGGAUGGGGCUGGAAAAAGAAUUUCCCCUUACACUUUAAAGGAUUUUUGUUUUAUUUUGUUUUGUUUUGUUUUGUUUUGUUUUGUUUUGUUU